UACUGAUAGGAAUCCUAGUAGGGUGAACCUAAUGUUUCUGCCUCUAAUUGCUAAUUUACAUAGAGCAAGCAUGUAUAGUUGGGGUUCAGCUUGUCUUGCCUGGUUAUAUCGAGAACUUUGUCGGGCCACUGAUCCGAGCGUGUCUCAAUUAGGUGGAGCUCUACACAUCCUGCAGAUAUGGGCAUGUGAACGAUUUAUUUCAAUAUCACCAUCUAUAAAUAUAUGAGACCCACAUAAUGAUGCUCCACUGGGAAGUCGGUGGAGUAAUGCACGACGUAUCACUCAAGUCGUAACACAUGUCUUGAUAGAAAUACGCUAUAAAUUUGAUAGAAUGGGUGACCCAGAGAUGGUAUGGGAGCCAUAUUCCGAUGAACUCCUUGCAUCAUUGCCAUUAUAUUGCACGCAAGGAUGUGACAUUUGGAGAGCAGUGGUUCCCUUGAUAUGCUUCCACGUGGUAGAAUGGCAUCAACCUGAUAG